rnacentral:rRNA from 1 species
UACGUAGGGUGCAAGCGUUGUCCGGAAUUAUUGGGCGUAAAGAGCUCGUAGGCGGUUUGUUGCGUCGGCUGUGAAAUCCCAAGGCUCAACCUCGGGUCUGCAGUCGAUACGAGCAAACUAGAGUGUUGCAGGGGAGACUGGAAUUCCUGGUGUAGCGGUGAAAUGCGCAGAUAUCAGGAGGAACACCGGUGGCGAAGGCGAGUCCCUGGACAACACCUGACACUGGAGGCACGAAAGCUAGGGGAGCAAACAGG